rnacentral:lncRNA from 1 species
GCUUCUUGCAAAAAAGGCACUUUGCCUGACUUUAAUCAGCCUUGAACUUGGGUUUCUGGGACUGACUCCCAGCACCAGGCACCUUCUAAUUCUUCUUUUUUUUUUCUUUCUUAAAGGGACGAUGACUACUCGAAGAAGAUCCUCCCACUAAAUUCACCAUCUCCUUAUGGAGCUGAUGAUCCUUUUCAAAAGUUUGUAGCAACCCCAACAGAUCAUG